AUUGAACGCUGGCGGCAGGCCUAACACAUGCAAGUCGAACGAGUGGCGGACGGGUGAGUAAUGUCUGGGAAACUGCCUGAUGGAGGGGGAUAACUACUGGAAACGGUAGCUAACACCGCACACCAUCAGAUGUGCCCAGAUGGGAUUAGCGUGUUGGUGGGGUAACGGCUCACCAAGGCGACGAUCCCUAGCGGGUCGGAGAGGAUGACCGGCCACACUGGGACUGAGACACGGUCCAGACUCCUACGGGAGGCAGCAGUAGGGAAUAUUGCACAAUGGGCGCAAGCCUGAUGCAGCCAUGCCGCGUGUAGGAAGAAGGCCUUCGGGUUGUAAAGUCCUUUCGGCGGGGAGGCGUUACCCGCAGAAGAAGCACCGGCUAACUCCGUGCCAGCCGCCGCGGUAAUAC
rnacentral:rRNA from 1 species